GCUGUUAUAGCUCAGUCGGUAGAGCGCGUCAUUGGUAAUGACGAGGUCGGCAGUUCAAAUCUGCCUAACAGCUCCA
rnacentral:tRNA from 3 species